UGAAAAAGAACCUGAAACCGUGUACGUACAAGCAGUGGGAGCACCCUUUUGGGUGUGACUGCGUACCUUUUGUAUAAUGGGUCAGCGACUUAUAUUCUGUAGCAAGGUUAACCGAAUAGGGGAGCCGGAGGGAAACCGAGUCUUAAUUGGGCGUUAAGUUGCAGGGUAUAGACCCGAAACCCGGUGAUCUAGCCAUGGGCAGGUUGAAGGUUGGGUAACACUAACUGGAGGACCGAACCGACUAAUGUUGAAAAA
rnacentral:rRNA from 2 species